GAAGAAGCUGGCUGAGGAAUUCUGGGAUAGUGGCGGACCCAACAACACUUCUACUGUGAUGGCGACCAAUAUCGAGCAGAUUUUCAGGGAUUUUGUAAUGAAUAAGAUUAAAGAAAUCGAAGAUGAAACUCAAGAAACCAGUGUUGCAGAUGAGCCACAGUCUCAACUUAUGACGGAGACGAGAGAAGAUGGACUUAAGGAAGAAAAAAUGAACACACCAACAGAUAAAGUCACGCAUACUGACCCCCAAGAUAACCAUGAUAAAGAGGACACCAGCACUAAACACAGGAAGAGUAAAAAGCACAAAAAACACAAAAGCAAAAAGAAGAAAAAGAAACACAAAGAAGGAAAAGACAGCAGCUCCGACAAAGAGACUCAAGAAAGUGGAAAGAAAAAGAAAAGAAAGAAAAAGAAAAAAAGCAAAGAUACAGAUAAAGUUAAACGGUCUGGCUCUCGAUCCGAAAGCUCUUCAGCAUCGGUUUCUGAAUCCGAGUCCGAAUUGAAACCUUCAAGUGAAAAUACAAAGUCCUCUUCAGCAGCUCAGAGUUCGCAGACUAAGCCUCAGGAGUUGCCUGACAUCAUCCCCAAGAUGGAGAAUUCGGUCCACAAACACAGAGACAAUGAAAAGCCCAAGGAGAAGAAAAAAAGUUCUAGCAGGAGAUCUAAAAGUAAAGAGAGCUCCAGAGGAAGACGAUCCAGAUCAAGAUCACCCAGUCGGAAAUCCGAACGCAGGUCGAGAUCCCCAAACCGACAACGGAGAUCAAAGUCUAGAAAGAGAUCUCCUCAACGGAGCGACCGAAGUAGAUCGAGGUCCAGGUCUCAUUCUGUCAGAAGAGGCAAGCGUUCAAGAUCCAGGCGAACUAGAUCAAGGUCUGUUGUAAUCUUAAAGAGGAACAGAAAGUCUACAUCGAAAUCUAAGUCUCGCUCGCCACAGCGUAGACGCCGUUCAAGGAGUAAGUCUCAAAGCAGAACGAAACCUUCGAAGUCAAGGUCCGUUUCGAAGUCAAGGACUGAUUUGAAACCAGAAACGGAGUCAGAUCCAAUGGAUGGAAACAGAAUGCAAACAGAUGUGUCUCAAGACGCAACCGAGGAUAGAAAAAGUCCAACAGUGGCUGUAAACUCUGAAACGGCAUCCAACAUCUCCAACGCGGCUGGCUUUAAAGGAUCUUGGCGGCCAGUUCCUUUCUUGGCAGAGCCGUCUGAGACCAAGUCUUCCCAAAAGUGCGUUACACCCGAGAUGCCUUUGGCAGUGACCAAUGUAUCAGAAGAACCUUCGACGUUCUCCAACGCUGCGCCAAAAGAUUCACAGUGUGCCGCCAACACUGAGAAGAAAGAAACCAACUCAGAUCCAAAUUUAACAUCGCCGUCCAAAUCUCCCAGUCACGAGACAUCCUCACGAUCCAAAGCCGCAUCGACGUCGCCAUCGAAAGAGGCGAGGAAAUCCCGGUCGUCUUCACGAAAGUCUCGGUCGCCCUCCGAAAGGAAAUCGCACAAGUCUCGAGCGAGGAGCAAGCGCUCGAAAUCGCGGUCGCCUAAGAAGAAAAAAAAGUCGAGAUCUCGUUCGCGCAGCCGUCGGAGGAAAUCCCGAACCCCGGACAGAAGCAGACGGUCGAAAUCGAGAAAGAGGUCGCGCUCGCGUUCGAAGAGGAGAUCCCGAUCCCGCUCCGGCUCGCGCUGGGGAAGAGGUUUCGGAAGCCGGGCGCUGAACCAGCGGGAUCGAUGGAAACGGGAACCCAGUCGAUCUCCGGUCCUCAUUCUCCGUAAGAAAAGAUCAGCGUCUGGGACUCGACGUAGCACCAGCAAGACGCCUCCACGUCUUACAGAACUUGAUAAGGAGCAGUUGCUGGAAAUAGCUAAGGCUAAUGCUGCGGCUAUGUGUGCCAAGGCCGGCGUGCCGAUCCCAGAGAGUCUCAGGCCCAGAUCUAUUCUUCAGAUGCCCUUGCAAACCUCAAAUCCCUCGUCCUUGUCUCUACAGUUGCCAGUGAUGUCAAGCAUGACGAUGAACGCUGCUAUGGCUAGCAUGACUGCGGCCACUAUGACCGCUGCUUUGUCCAGCAUGGGUGCUUUGGCGUCCCUUCCACAGAUGGCUCCGUUACCGACGAUCGUCAACAAGCCGCCAUCUUCAUCCACACCAAAUCUCGCCAGCAUCGAAGAAGCCAAAAAGAAAGUAACGAAACAGGCGAACAGCUUCAGCAUUAAAGAGCUAACCGAGAGAUGCAAGAAGAUCGCCGAGAGUAAGGAAGAGAUGGCCAUCGCAAAACCUCACGUGUCGGACGAUGAAGAGGAUGAACGGCUGAUCGGAGCUUCCCUUAAGGAGAAUAAGGGCAUCGCGUUCAGUCUCGGCAGCACCUCCAUAAAGCCGGGCGUCCGAACCGAAGCGGUGUUUGCGAAGGAGUUCCCAGUGUCCUCCGGCUCCCAGCACAGGAAGAAGGAGGCCGAUGGUGCUUAUGGAGAAUGGGUGCCGGUCGAAAAGAAAGUAGAAAAGCCAUCUGCAUCGAGUUCUUCUGGGACCGAGGAAACCAGCAAGAACAGUGAUAGUGUCUUUCCCGAAGCACCUUCUCAGCCUGUGGACAUCACUUUGGCCGUCAGCGAGAGAGCGGUCGCUCAGAAGAGACUGGCGGAAAACCCUUUCGACAUCAAUGCCAUGUGUAUGCUGAAUCGGGCUCAAGAGCAAGUUGAUGCAUGGGCCCAGUCCAACACCAUCCCCGGCCUCUUCACAGGCUCCACCGGCGCUCAGGUGCUCUCGUCCGAUGAGCUCUCAAACAGCGGCACGCAGGCCUGGAUUAAGAAGGGUCAGUCCUUGUAGCUGCCUCUUUGCCAUGGUCACAGUCAGGCCCCUUCUAUUCACGUCAGAUGCUCGGCCGGUGAUGGGGGCCUAGGUACGUACGUCCUCCAGCACCCUUCCUUCUAUUCAUGUGGAUUUGUGUGUGAACUGAUGCAUUUCUGCCUUGUCCUCCUGUUUGUGUGUUUGUUUGCACUGAACUGACUCAGAGCCCCUGAGAUCUGUUCAGGACGGGGGUCAUGCUUCGCCUGCUGAAGGCUCGCAAAUUAUUACUCAUGUGUGAUGGAAAAUACACACUGGCGGUCAAAAGAUAGGAAUUGUUUUUGGAAAGAAGCAUUUUCUGCUCAUUGAGCAUGUGUUUAUUUGAUUGAAAAUAUUGGGGAAAAUGUGAUAUAUUUUUACUGUUUAAAAUUGCUGUUGUAAAUGUGAGUAGCUGUUAAACUGUGAUUUAUUUCUGCAAUGCACCGCUGUAUUUCCAGUGUCACAAGAUCCUCAGAAAUCAUUCUAAUAUUUGUUGCUCGAGAAAUAUUUCUGUUAAAAAAACAAACAAACAUGCGAUACAUUUUAUUUAAAAAAGUUCUUUGAUGAAUAGAAAGUUCAAAGGAACAGAAUUUAGAAUCUUUUGUAACAUGUCUCUUCACUGUCACUUUUGAGAUAAUUCAAUGCAUCCUUUAUGGAUAAAAGUAAUUUUAGAUAAACAUACUAAAAAUGGGUUUCUGCAUAAAUAUGGAGCAGCAAAAAAAAAUCAUUUUAAAACAACAUUUGAGAAAUGUCUCGUGCAUCAAAUACCAGAAUGAUUUCUGAAGAUCAUGUGACACUGAAGACUGGAGGAAUGAUGCUUAAAAUAAUACAGCUGUGCAUCACAGAAAUAAAUUACACUUUAACAUACAUUCACUUAAAAAACAGCUGUUUUAAAUUAAAAUAAUAUUUCACAAAUAUUGCCAUUUUUAGUUAAUUUUUAAUCAAAUAAAAUGAAGCCUCGGUGAGCAGAAGAGACUUUAUUUAAAAACACUACAAAAUGUAAAUAUUCAAAACUUUUGGCCGGUAUUGUGUAUUUAUUUAUUUAUUUCUAUUCGUCCUUGUUUAGUCAUUUAGACCUACAGCAGGUGAGAAAUAAAGGACUCCGUAUUUAAACAUUUUCCAUAUUCUUGAAAUAGUUAAAACAGAAGGCUGUUCAAUCUAAUAUCUAAUGAUCAUUAAAACGUCUCUAGUGUCCGAGCUUCACCGAAUGAGCCGUUCUCUCACUACUUCCUGUUUCUCUUGGUUUGCCUCUUUCUUUCUCUCUCUCUGUCUGGAUCUGUCCCGUUCC